rnacentral:rRNA from 1 species
GACGAACCGUGCAAACGUUGUUCGGAAUCACUGGGCUUAAAGGGCGCGUAGGCGGCCGGGUCAGUCGGGCCUGUAAGUGCGGGGCUCAACCCCCGUGAUGGGCUCGGGGACGGCCCGGCUGGGGCGCGGUCGAGGGAGACGGAAUGCCGGGUGUAGUGGUGAAAUGCGUAGAGAUCCGGCGGAACACCGGUGGUGAAGACGGUCUCCUGGGCCGAGGGCCGACGCCUGAGGAGCGAAAGCGUGGGGAGCGAACAGG